CCGGCACGGGUGAGUAACACGUAUCCAACCUGCCGUCUACUCUUGGACAGCCUUCUGAAAGGAAGAUUAAUACAAGAUGGCAUCAUGAGUCCGCAUGUUCACAUGAUUAAAGGUAUUCCGGUAGACGAUGGGGAUGCGUUCCAUUAGUUAGUAGGCGGGGUAACGGCCCACCUAGUCUUCGAUGGAUAGGGGUUCUGAGAGGAAGGUCCCCCACAUUGGUACUGAGACACGGACCAA
rnacentral:rRNA from 1 species